rnacentral:lncRNA from 1 species
CAUAAUUUAUUAGUCUAGAUUCGGUGCUUACUCGACUUGCUUUCUAUUCAGUCUUUGAUAAAUAGAUUUUAUUGGUAGAAGGUUUUAAGAUGAGAUCCAAUAGAGUUUUUAUUCCGUUGGAAUGAGUUGAAUCUACCCAUUCCAUUCAGACUAGGGUACGUCAGGCUCAUUCAAGGGAUUUUGCAGUUAAAGUGGUUGAUUAUCUG